rnacentral:rRNA from 1 species
UGAAUACGAGACGCUAAGGCGUCGAAGUAGUGUAUGUCAUACUUCCAAGAAAAGCUUGCACUGUCAUAGAUAAAAAACGCCUGUACCAUAACCGACACAGGUGGGUAGGUAGAGUAUACUAAGGGGCGCGAGAUAACUCUCUCUAAGGAACUCGGCAAAAUAACUCCGUAACUUCGGGAGAAGGAGUGCCUUAUUCUUAAGGUUGCAAUAACAAGAUCCAAGCAACUGUUUAUCAAAAACACAGGUCUCCGCUAAGUCGUAAGACGAUGUAUGGGGGCUGACGCCUGCCCAGUGCCAGAAGGUUAAAGAAGCUGGUUAGCAUUUGCGAAGCUAGUAACUGAAGCCCUGGUGAACGGCGGCCGUAACUAUAACGGUCCUAAGGUAGCGAAAUUCCUUGUCGGGUAAGUUCCGACCCGCACGAAAGGCGUAAUGAUUUGGAUACUGUCUCGGAGAGGGGCUCGGUGAAAUAGACUUGUCUGUGAAGAUGCGGACUACCUGCACCAGGACAGAAAGACCCUAUGAAGCUUUACUGUAACUUGAAAUAGAAAUUGGACUUUAUUCGCGCAGUAUAGGUGGGAGGCGUUGAUUAUAAUCUUGCGGGAUUAUUGGAGCCAUUAGUGAGAUACCACUCUUGUAAUGUUAGAUUUCUAACUUUGAAUCAUUAUCUGGUCAAAGAACAGUUUCAGGCGGGCAGUUUGACUGGGGCGGUCGCCUCCUAAACGGUAGCGGAGGCGUACAAAGGUUUCCUCUGAACGGUUAGAAAUCGUAUCUAGAGUGUAAAGGCAUAAGGAAGCUUGACUGUGAGACCUACAAGUCGAGCAGGGACGAAAGUCGGUCUUAGUGAUCUGACGGUACUGAGUGGAAAGGCCGUCACUCAACGGAUAAAAGUUACUCUAAGGAUAACAGGCUGAUCUCCCCCAAGAGUUCACAUCGACGGGGAGGUUCGGCACCUCGAUGUCGGCUCAUCGCAUCCUGGGGCGGUAGUACGUCCCAAGGGUUGGGCUGUUCGCCCAUGAAAGCGGUACGCGAGCUGGGUUCAGAACGUCGUGAGACAGUUCGGUCCAUAUCCGGUGUAGGCGUUAGAAUAUUGAGAGGAGCCUUCUUUAGUACGAGAGGACCGAGAAGGACAUACCUCUGGUGUACCAGUUAUCGUGCCAACGGUAAACGCUGGGUAGCUAUGUAUGGAGUGGAUAACCGCUGAAAGCAUCUAAGUGGGAAGCCCACCUCAAGAUAAGUAUUCUC